GGAAUGUUCUACAAAAAUCAGUAGAAACUGUAUAAUACAUUCAUACUAAAAGAUCUCCCUUGCGAAUAAAACGUUGGUCACAUGCACCCGGAAUUUAAUCAGAGAAAAGGUACAGAAAGCCUAGAAAAAAGUUAUAAAUACUAUGCUCCAUUCUCUGUUGAGAUGUUUUUCUGAGCUAAUAUCUUUUCUAUUAUCAUCUUGAGUGCAGGGGCACUUGCCUGGCAUUUAUCAUCCGAAAAGCAUGAUCUUCCUUCUUCGGCUGCUUUACAUAGCUGAGGAUCCAGUGGUACUUUUCCAAGAAACGAGAUACCCAUAUCGUUGCACAUCUUUGCAGCACCUCCACCACUGGUAUCAAAAACUUCGCUACAAGCAAUCAAGUUCAGCAUUUCUGGGGCGUUCUCUCUCAUAUAAGACAUGGCCCACUCGGUCAUGUCUUUCUGCUCGCCAGUCUCUGUCAUUCUUGUGAAUUUCAAAUCUGAGAGUGGCUGGGAAAGACCACUCAUGUUCUCAACAACGCCAAGAACCUCCACCCCAACUUUCUUGCAAAAACUAACUUCUUUCCUAACAUCUAUCAGGGAUACCUGUUGUGGGGUUGUGACUAUAACUGCGCCAUCUAUUCCAGUUUCUUGGAGUAAUUGAACGAUUGAAAUAUGUUCAUCUGACGUCCCAGGUGGAGCAUCAACCACGAGGAAAUCAAGCUCUCCCCAAUCAACAUCUCUGAGGAAUUGCUUAAUUAGAGCAUUCUUGCGAGGCCCUCUCCAUAUGACAGCUUCAUCAGGGUUGGGGAGCAUGAAACCAAUUGACAUAACCCCAAGGUUAGACUCAACGUAAAUAGGUAUCCAUCCAAUAUUACUCUGGUGAAUCUCUUGUCCUUCGAGACCAAGCAUCUUUGGGAUGCUGGGGCCACAGAUAUCAAUGUCAAGGAGACCCACUUGAAAAUCCAUAGCUGCCAAUGCAAAAGCAAGUUGCGCUGAGAAAGUACUCUUACC
rnacentral:misc_RNA from 1 species